GCUGCGGUGGUGGAAUGGUAUACACGCUAGUCUUAGGAACUAGUUCCGCAAGGAGUGAGAGUUCGAGUCUCUCCCGCAGCA
rnacentral:tRNA from 1 species